CUUAUACUCCCUCUGUCCGGAAAUACUUGUCGGAGGAAUGGAUGUAUCUAGAUGUAUUUUGGUUCUAGAUACAUUUAUUUUUAUCCAUUUCUCUGACAAGUAUUUUCGGACGGAGGGAGUACUAU
rnacentral:pre_miRNA from 1 species